ACCCCGGGAGGGGAGUGAAAAAGAACCUGAAACCCUGUGCUUACAAGCAGAGAGAGCACGAUUAAGUGUGAUCUCGUACUUUUUGUAGAACGGUCCGGCGAGUUACGUUAUGCUAGCGAGGUUAAGGACUAAAGGUCCGGAGCCGAAGCGAGAGCGAGUCUGAAUAGGGCGUAUAGUUGCAUGACGUAGACCCGAAACCGGGUGACCUAUCCAUGGGCAGGUUGAAGUGGAAGUAAAAUUUCAUGGAGGACCGAACCAGACGUCUGUUGAAAAAGGCGGGGAUGACCUGUGGAUAGCGGAGAAAUUCCAAUCGAACCCGGAGAUAGCUGGUUCUCCUCGAAAUAGCUUUAGGGCUAGCCUCGCAUUAGUUUACCGGAGGUAGAGCACUGAAUGGUCUAGGGGGCCUCACCGCCUACCGAAACCUAUCAAACUGCGAAUGCCGGAUAAAUGAUGUGCGGGAGUCAGGCCGCGAGAGAUAAGUUCCGCGGUCAAAAGGGGAACACCCCAGAUCGUCUGCUAAGGUCCCCAAGUACGCGUUAAGUGGGAAAGGAUGUUGGAUUGCACAGACAACCAGGAUGUUGGCUUAGAAGCAGCCACACAUUCAAAGAGUGCGUAAUAGCUCACUGGUCGAGUGAUCCAGCGCCGAAAAUGUAACGGGGCUAAAACGCGACACCGAAGCAGCGGGAUGCGUAAGCAUCGGUAGAGGAGCAUUGUGUGAGGGUUGAAGCCAGAGCGGGAGCACUGGUGGACUUCACAGAAGAGAGAAUGCCGGUAUGAGUAGCGAGACCCAUGCGAGAAACAUGGGCGUCGAAGGCCCAAGGUUUCCUGGGGAAGGUUCAUCCACCCAGGGUAAGUCGGGACCUAAGCCGAGGACUGAGGUCGUAGGCGAUGGACAGCAGGUAGAGAUUCCUGCACCACUUACACUUGUUUGACGAAGCAGUGACACAGAAGGAUAGGACGAGCGCGGUGAUGGUCAACCGCGUAGGCGGCACGAGGCUGGGGAGCAGUAAAGUACACUUCCCGGGAAGGCUGAGUGCUGACAGGACCGAAAAAGAGUAGGGAAGCGUCUGAGUUCACGCUGGCGAGAAAAGCUGCUAAGGAGAGUGUGAGUGCCCGUACCGGAAACCGACGCAGGUGGGCGAGGAGAGAAUCCUGAGACGGACGGGAGAACUCUUGUUAAGGAACUCGGCAAAAUGACCCCGUAACUUCGGGAGAAGGGGUGCCUCGAAAGAGGCCGCAGAGAAUAGUCACAAGCGACUGUUUAGCAAAAACACAGGUAUCUGCGAAAGCGAGAGCUGACGUAUAGGUGCUGACGCCUGCCCGGUGCUGGAAGGUUAAGGGGAAGUGUUAGGGGAAACCCGAAGCAGAGAACCGAAGCCCCAGUAAACGGCGGCCGUAACUAUAACGGUCCUAAGGUAGCGAAAUUCCUUGUCGGGUAAGUUCCGACCCGCACGAAUGGCGUAACGACUUGUGAGCUGUCUCAACAGGAGGCCCGGUGAAAUUGAAGUAUGUGUGAAGAUGCACAUUACCCGCGACUGGACGGAAAGACCCCGUAGAGCUUUACUGUAACCUGACAUUGGAUCUUGAUAACGGAUGCACAGGAUAGGUGGGACGCAGAGAGACGAGGACUUCGGUUUUCGUGGAGCGGCCGUUGGGAUACCACUCUUCUGUUAUUGAGAUUCUAACCUCAAGCCGUAAGCCGGAUGAGAGACAGUGUCAGGCGGACAGUUUGACUGGGGCGGUCGCCUCCGAAAGAGUAACGGAGGCGCCCAAAGGUACCCUCAGAAUGGAUGGAAACCAUUCGAAGAGAGCAAAGUCAGAAGGGUGCUUGACUGCGAGACCAACAAGUCGAGCAGGUACGAAAGUAGGGCUUAGUGAUCCGGCGGUAAGAGAGUGGAAUUGCCGUCGCUCAACGGAUAAAAGCUACCUCGGGGAUAACAGGCUGAUCUCCCCCAAGAGUUCACAUCGACG
rnacentral:rRNA from 1 species